UACGAAGGGUGCAAGCGUUACUCGGAAUUACUGGGCGUAAAGCGUGCGUAGGUGGUUUGUUAAGUCUGAUGUGAAAGCCCUGGGCUCAACCUGGGAAUUGCAUUGGAUACUGGCAGGCUAGAGUGCGGUAGAGGGUAGUGGAAUUCCCGGUGUAGCAGUGAAAUGCGUAGAGAUCGGGAGGAACAUCCGUGGCGAAGGCGACUACCUGGACCAGCACUGACACUGAGGCACGAAAGCGUGGGGAGCAAACA
rnacentral:rRNA from 1 species